rnacentral:rRNA from 1 species
GUGACGAUAGCCUAGGAGAUACACCUGUUCCCAUGCCGAACACAGAAGUUAAGCCCUAGUACGCCUGAUGUAGUUGGGGGUUGCCCCCUGUUAGAUACGGUAGUCGCU